GAGUUUGAUCAUGGCUCAGGAUGAACGCUGGCGGCGUGCCUAAUACAUGCAAGUCGAGCGAACGGACGAGAAGCUUGCUUCUCUGAUGUUAGCGGCGGACGGGUGAGUAACACGUGGAUAACCUACCUAUAAGACUGGGAUAACUUCGGGAAACCGGAGCUAAUACCGGAUGAUAUUUUGAACCGCAUGGUUCAAAAGUGAAAGACGGUCUUGCUGUCACUUAUAGAUGGAUCCGCGCUGCAUUAGCUAGUUGGUAAGGUAACGGCUUACCAAGGCAACGAUGCAUAGCCGACCUGAGAGGGUGAUCGGCCACACUGGAACUGAGACACGGUCCAGACUCCUACGGGAGGCAGCAGUAGGGAAUCUUCCGCAAUGGGCGAAAGCCUGACGGAGCAACGCCGCGUGAGUGAUGAAGGUCUUCGGAUCGUAAAACUCUGUUAUUAGGGAAGAACAUAUGUGUAAGUAACUGUGCACAUCUUGACGGUACCUAAUCAGAAAGCCACGGCU
rnacentral:rRNA from 1 species